CUGGCUGUACUCAAAGAUCAGAACUACAGGGCCUUAAAAAUGAUAAUAGAUGCAGAUAUCACUGCCAAUGACUUAAAAGUGUCUCUCCUUACUCAAGGUCUAUUCAGGCUUAGGAAUGUAAGCCUCCUUGUCCCUGCUAAAUUUAUCUGUUCAGAUUACCAAAAGCCAACCUCUAGAGAAUUUAAAUAAAUGAUGACAUAUGUUUGAUAAAUAAGACAUUUGAUAAACAAAAUAUAUAUGCUAUAAUGGAGUUUCUGGUUCCCCGAGAGGGUCCUUUUCUCAGAGAGUUCCUUUCUCAGAGUUGGGCCACACCCCAACUCACAAGCCCCUUUUCUCCUGGGAUCUUUCCCCUGUCCCUCUUCUUUGCCUUCUCAGGAGACAGUAAGUCCUAGUCUUAUGAAAAAAUGCUGACAUAUUGGAGACUUAGAGAACACUAGUUGAUAGUCAUUCAUACCUAAUGGACAGACCACCCUCAAAUGCUCAGAGAUCUGCAGAAUAUGGCAUUUAAAAGGUUUGAUUAAAAAGCUUUUCAUGAUAGAGAGACAUGCCGGCUCCUGGCAGCACCUUCAAUUUCCUCCAAAGAAGAUGGAUGGGCAAAGAAGAACCUCCACCUGGAACUUGCUCCAGGGUGGCAGCACCAGCCACUGAGAUGGGCAUAGAAGAACCUCCACUGCUGCCAGGGCCUUCUUCAGACCACGGACAUCAGGACUCUGGGAACCCACUGCCUCACUUCUGCCUAGACAAGGGGAGAGCGCGAACGCAGUCCCCCACUACCACAAAUUAGGCAGUCGAGUUUCCCGCAUUUGGGGAAAUCGCAGGGGUCAGCACAUCCGGAGUGCAAUGGAUAAGCCUCGCCCUGGGAAAACCACCUUCGUGAUCAUGGUAUCUCCCCUGCCAGGUUUCUCAGGCCCUAGGUGGAUAUCCAAGAGCCUCACAUUGGGCAUCUUGGAUGAUGUAGAGAAGCUCAACUGUCCCAGCCAGUGGGAUCUUCAGCAGAGACCCUAGAAGGGGGAAUGGCGAAUGAAAGGGACAAGAGACACAAAGAAUUGACAGCAAGACAGUAUUCUGAUCAAGCUGCAAAACUUUAUUUUUCUCAGGGAUUAUUUGAAGUGGUCAGCUAAAGGAAUCCAGGCCAUCAACACCUUUGAUGAAAAGAACUACUAAGGUCCCACCAUGGGGCCAGCUACACCACUGAUAGCAUUCUGAAAGACUGAAGUUUGCUUCUAGACACGGACACCCCCGUGGGGCGGGGG